rnacentral:lncRNA from 1 species
GAAAUGCUGUCACCGCUGUUAACACGCACGUGGAGGUUGGUUAAAGGAAGACCUGGGUUUUAGUCCUGUCUCCAUCAACCUCAAGAAAUGGGACCUCAUGGAAGGGAGGGGAGGCAAUGCCGAGGAUGUGCUCCUGAGCAGGUGUCACAAUUCUUCACCUGUAAGCUGAUCUAAGAAGAUUCCUAAUUAUCAAUUGAGAGCAGAGAUAUUCCACUUCCAAUUACAUGGCCCUGCCUGCUCACUCUUACUUCCUAUUCACACUCUCUUGGAGACCACUUUGUGAUUCUACCAAAUUCUAUAGGAGAGGUGACAACCCCAAAGAGAAGGCUCUAGAAAGAUGACAUUUGUUGCUGACAGAAAAGUGAGACCUCCUCCACCCCAAGGUCUCCUAAGAGAAUGCUGCUAGCCAAAAAAAGAUCUGCUGAUAAUUGAGGAAGAGCAUCUUUAAAAAGACACUCAACUACAUUUCAGAAACAUAAAGAUCUAAGUGUUGGCUCUACAAGGGAAGAAAUAAAGAGAAAGAACUUUUUUCCUCCUACAACAGGUCUAGACAACGUCAUACAAGGAGUUGCACGCAUAUCCAAAACAAAAGCAAGGCAAAAACAAGCAAAAAAGCAACAAAUGCAUUCCAAAAUGAUGUCCAUUUAUCAGCCCAGAAAUGUACUGGAUACUGGUUUAGUUCAGCCUGUAGGUGCUGGGAAGAAAUUCCGACAAAUCCAAGUCAGUUGCAAAAAGGGAAAACUCCAGACAUAUCACCCAAUGAACUUGUAAGAAAGCAUAUGAGCUUCCCUGAACAGACUUUACUCCAGGUUUGCAGCCCGCAAGGUUUAAGAUCGGGCCAUGAGGUUAAAUCUUGUAAACUCAGAAGUGUUCACGCUACUGCAUCCCUAAACUCUGUAAUUCUCUACAUACCCUUUAAAGCAGUGUUUCUCUGCAUCUUUCAUUCCAUAGCCAUUGUCCACCUGAUCCAAAAUAUCCUAAAUUUUUCAGUGUUUGGAAGCAGGGUUUCCAAUUUUUGUGUAUACACAAAAGUAUAAUUUCUUUUCUCCUCUCUGACAGGCCUCCAGAGGCCCAAACUUUAAUAGAAUCUGAGAGAAAAAAGUGGCCAGUCUAUCUGCUGUCUAGAGUGAUGCCAAACUCUUUCUCCCGGAGCCAGUUCUCCCCGUUGAGCAGUCAGAAACAAUAAGUGAACAAGAAGUAACCUCAGAAGAAGAAAGAACUUUGGGAGAAUGCACUGAGAAAGGCCAGACUGAGUCCCCUUGGAUGAAGUUAAUUAAGAAACAAACAUGACAGGAUAUUGCAAUCAAAACCAAGGAAUGCAGUGAGGACAGGUUUCUCAGUUGCCCAGAGGAGAAAACAUAGUUCCUUUUGAACUAAAAUUAGAAAGCCGCUGGCAAGGAAACAUAAGAAGCAUGGGUAAGAGGCUGAAAACCGUAAGUCAGCAAUGGGGAUGGAGGUGGGUACAGGAAGAGAGCGAGUAUCUAUUUUGUUUUAUUUCUUCUGUAAUUCCUUAAGAUUGUUUGCGCCUGAGCUUUGGGACUGCAGUAGUCUCCCCUACGGGGCGUCAAGUAACAGGCUGGGAGCUCUGGCAAGAAGUUCUCAAACUUCUCACAAUUCUGCUAAGAGCUUGCAGAUAUCUAGCUGGAAGAUCAAGGAUCCAAGUGAAAACACUGAAGGAAGGUUUUUGCCCACUCCCCAGUGAGAGGUCAUCUGCCCAGGGAGUGCUCUCGUGUCCUGACACCAUCGCCCGACUGGGGAUAUAUCAGUAACCGGGCUGUCGUCGAUGCCGAGCAGUGCCCAUCUGGUUGGCAGCGUCCGGGUCUCAAGCGUUCCCUCGCCCCUAUCUGUUCUCCGGGGAGCCCUGAAUCGCUGGUGGGCAUCUACAGUUAAGAGUGCAGGAAGGCCUCUCAGACACGGGGCGAACACAAGGGCUGUUGGCUGCCUCCUCAGAGCCGAUCCAGGCAUAGUUCGCCCAGGCGGGAGAGCGGCGUUGAAGUGGGUCGGCACCCGUCUGAGGGGUGCCAGGCCACCCCGGUGCCCGCUCCUCUCGCCGGCCGGCCUCUGCCCGUCUUCCUGACCCUUGGGGGCCGGGAAGACUCCGCCGGCAGCGGCCGGGACCCACCGCUCAUUACGACAUCUUCCUCCCUGGCCUCCGCCGCCUCCGCCGCCACCGAGAGCCUGACACCGCCCGCCAAGCAACCGCCAAUCCCGGAGCCCGCCACCGCCCGAGCGACGGCAGCCUUCACCAAUAAGCGCUUGGAACAUUGGGGACCGACAGCACUAUUAACCAAUCAACCAGAGGCGUCUAGAGCGACGUUGAUUUGACCAAUAGGUCUGUGCAAUGUCACUGAUGGACGGUAGAGCGCACCAACCGAAAGCCAAUUGAAUAAUGAGUGACAUGUGCAUCAGCCAAUUGGAGGGAGGCAAAGUCCCGCCCACGGGGUGGUUGAUGGACAGCAACAGGAAGCUGGAAGGGGAGGGGCUUAGCCGAAGAGUGCUUUUGUAUUGGUCGUGGUUGACCUUCCACCCACCUCUAACCCAGAGGAUGAAUGAUAGAUCUGCCCUGAAGCCAAUCAGAAGUCCUUAGGGUGAGGCCCACAAAUGCCCCAGAAAUAGCAUAUACAUUGCGCCCUAAGUCCAGUCUCGCCCAGCUGUGGCAGGAGCUUUUACCUGCUCUUCGGCAGUAGCCGGCUGCCACUCAACCCCAUGCCUGAAGGAUUGAGGCCAGCACAGAGGAGGAUCAGCAGGAAAUGUUGUCCUCAUCUAAUCCGUCAGUACCAGACAGUGAACAUCUCUCCCCCAGGAUGCUGAGGGAGGGUGCUGGAGGGAAGGAUGUGGAACUACAGCCUCUGCUCUCAAGAAGCUCAGAUCUGGGCAGGGAACAUCACAUACCAGGGCUGUCGGGGGGUGGAGGGCUGGGGGAGGGAUAGCAUUAGGGGAAAUACCUAAUGUAAAUGACAAGUUGAUGGGUGCAGCAAACCAACAUGGCACAUGUAUACCUAUGUAACAAACCUGCUGUUGUGCACAUGUACCCUAGAACUUAAAGUAUAAUUAAAAAAAAAAAAAAGCUUCAGAUCCCUCCUGGAGCCUCC